rnacentral:rRNA from 1 species
GAGUUUGAUCGUGGCUCAGAUUGAACGCUGGCGGCAUGCCUUACACAUGCAAGUCGAACGGCAGCACGGGAGCUUGCUCCUGGUGGCGAGUGGCGAACGGGUGAGUAAUGCAUCGGAACGUAUCCUGGAGUGGGGGAUAACGUAGCGAAAGUUACGCUAAUACCGCAUAUUCUGUGAGCAGGAAAGCGGGGGACCUUCGGGCCUCGCGCUCUUGGAGCGGCCGAUGUCGGAUUAGCUAGUUGGUGAGGUAAAGGCUCACCAAGGCGACGAUCCGUAGCAGGUCUGAGAGGAUGAUCUGCCACACUGGAACUGAGACACGGUCCAGACUCCUACGGGAGGCAGCAGUGGGAAUUUUGGACAAUGGGGGCAACCCUGAUCCAGCCAUGCCGCGUGAGUGAAGAAGGCCUCGGUUGUAAGA